rnacentral:rRNA from 1 species
GCUUAACGCGAAGAACCUUACCCACCUUUGACAUGGCAGGAAUCCUUUAGAGAUAGAGGAGUGCUCGAAAGAGAACCUGCACACAGGUGCUGCAUGGCUGUCGUCAGCUCGUGUCGUGAGAUGUUGGGUUAAGUCCCGCAACGAGCGCAACCCUUGCCAUUAGUUGCUACGAAAGGGCACUCUAAUGGGACUGCCGGUGACAAACCGGAGGAAGGUGGGGAUGACGUCAAGUCCUCAUGGCCCUUAUAGGUGGGGCUACACACGUCAUACAAUGGCUGGUACAUAGGGUUGCCAACCCGCGAGGGGGAGCUAAUCCCAUAAAGCCAGUCGUAGUCCGGAUCGCAGUCUGCAACUCGACUGCGUGAAGUCGGAAUCGCUAGUAAUCGUGGAUCAGCAUGUCACGGUGAAUACGUUCCCGGGUCUUGUACACACCG